rnacentral:tRNA from 1 species
GUGAACAUAGUUUAUUAAAAAUUCUAGCUUGUGAUUCUAGAGAAGAGAGCUAAUGACUCUCUGUUCACC